rnacentral:lncRNA from 1 species
AUGCUCAAAUCAUAUUUAGAGAACAAUGAAGUAGCAACAAGUUCUCUAAGAGAGAUUGAUUGGCUUACUUGAUCCUUGGGACUUUGGUUGCUUAUAUAGAAGGCUAUCGAACAGCUGCUCGAACAGCUGUGAGAUCGUACGAUCCCGAGAGUCGGACCAUUAAACAUGCCAUUAUGGAUGAGAUAUUUCAGCCUUUAAUCACUCCCACGAGAUUGAAGGAGUCAGUUAUGCCUG